rnacentral:lncRNA from 1 species
GCCUGGUCCUGCUGUGCUGGAGCGAGGACUUUUGUGUCAUGGCACUCCCAAGGGAAACUGAGAGCCUCAGACCACUCAGCAGAGGUGGUGCAGAGAGAGAAUGCUGGUCACGCCGAAGCUGUCAAUGAACAAAAAAGAGUACCUGCCAUUACACCACAGCAGCCAUGGUGGAAAAGCGUGGGACUCCUUACUGAGAAGGACAAACAGGAAAUUAGGAGCUGGCCCCGUGGCCGAGUGAUUAAGUUCACGUGCUCUGCUUCAGCGGCCCAGGGUUUCUCCGGUUCGGAUCCUGGGUGCGGACAUGGCACCACUCGUCAGGCCAUGCUGAGGCGGUGUUCCACAUACC